rnacentral:lncRNA from 1 species
GGCCAACCGUAAGCGAGCAAAAGAGGCGGCAGCAGCGGCAGCACUGGCACAACUAAGCGCUUUAGGGCUUAGCUAAUGGCUUGGACUAACGCAUCUUGCGAACCAGGUGUUAAGAGUGGUGGCAGCGAGGGGCUAACUGACGAGGCAGGCAGAGUGUUCGAGUCUAUGCCCGAGUCUGAUGAGGCGUUGCUGAUUUAUGGGUAGCACCCGGGGUAGCACAAUGGGCGGAAUAUGUGCCAUCCGCCUGCAGCUUCUCAUGAACCCAUUGAAACUCCGUGUGCGGGCGUAUGGAUUCGAGUUGAUUUGGGUUCGUUGGUUUGAACCUGAUCUGAACGAAACGACAAGCUAUCUUACAAUUCCCUUCAAUCCCUAAGCUAAAUUUGGCUCGUAAUAGCUCCAACAGCCGUUUAUUGAUCCAGCGAGCAGAUUGACAGCGCAGUAUGGUGUUAGUACAUGUUCACUUUAGAGACUUUUUCGCUAGACCUACGUUCUUGCAUAUGCGGGUGAAAAGACCAGUCCCACCUCUUGUCCAUAACAGUAACGUGCUAGAAUUGGACGCCGGGGGCACUCCUAUUCUGGUUGUUAUCACAGCGUCACCCCAAGGAUGAGUCCUGACAGUUUUCUCCAUUGCCGAAAAUCAUGUGUGCGAUAUGCAAGCCAAAGAGUGCGAGAAGAGUCCCUAAAAUGUCACGGCAACUGGAAAGGCGACUGUUGAGGCAAUUGGUCUUCAGCGCAGCACGCGAUAACUGUUGUACAGCGAAGCAGUGGCAGAGCCUACAAAUGAUGCGCAAGAGCUGCUGCGUUUAUAGGCAGGCGGGAAGGCAAGGGGAAAGAAUUAGCGGGAGUCCAAAUGCGGGUGUCGCUGUUGUCGGGGUUUGGCGCAAACGAGGCAAUUCUCCCAAGGAAGACAUUGCAAAAGCCACGACACACGAUGCACAACACACCUGGGGCAGUGGUUGCCUUCCCAGCAGUUUGUUGCCAGGUGGAAGUGGGCAAAAAUGACAGCCGGGGCCAAAGGCAAGGGUGCAACGGCUUACCUCCUGGAACAAGUACAUCGCAAAAUCUGUUUUUUUCUGGCCAUCCUCGACUGAGGUAAAGCUGCUUUCUUGUUUCGGUAGGUGUUGUGGUCAUUACACUCGCCGUUACUGCUGUAAGAGACUUCGAAAUGAGCAAAGACAUGGCUUUCAUCAAUGGAUUAACUUCAUUGCGGAUUCCUCCCAAGAACGCCUCUAACGAAGGGGUAGACCGUCUCUAAGCUUGGCCACGGAAUGCUGCUGGACGAUUUGCAUUGUGCAGUGCGCAAAGUCUAACAGGAGACAAGAGCAUCUGCCAUUAACAAACAGACGCACUUCAAGGGGUGGUCAUGUCCAAAAGCGGCAUGUUAUACCGUACGAACGCCGCCAUGCUUGGAAUGCAACAGUCUCGUCAGUAGCCUUGCUCGAAAA